rnacentral:tRNA from 2 species
GCCCCAAUAGCUCAGCUGGUUAGAGCAGGAGACUCAUAAUCUCUUGGUCGCGGGUUCAAGUCCUGCUUGGGGCACCA